rnacentral:lncRNA from 1 species
AACAAGAACAUGGGUGUCAAAAAAGAAAGGAACGGGACAAAGGAGUGGAUCAAGGGAGAAGCACGUUAGAAAUUUAAAAAGAAGUGGUAGAAAAGUUAACAAAGGAGAGGGGAAAAUGAAGGAAAGAGAAGAGUUGGUCAGAAGCAAAGUCAAAAUCUAUGAGGACCUUGGGCCCAAAAGAAACAUUUGCGCUCUAAGAAAAAAGGUAUGGUCCAAAGAAAAGUGAGAGAAAAAAAU